CCAACAGGGAUUCCCCUAGUAGUGGCGAAUGAAGCGGGAAAAGCUCAAGUUUGAAAUCUGAUGGGCUCGUCCCCUCAGAGUUGCAAGCUGAAGAGGCAUAGACCGACGUUGUCUGGGCCCAAUUUCCUUGGAACAGGAAGUCAUGGAGGGUGAGAACCCCGUCCGUGGCAUCUGAGCCUUCGUCCUUGUGUCGUGUCCUCGAAGAGUCGGGUUGUUUGGGAAUGCAGGCGUCAAAAUGGGUGGUAAAUUCCAUCUAAGGCUAAAUAUUGGCGAGAGACCGAUAGCAAACAAGUAGAGUGAUCGAAAGAUGAAAAGUACUUUGAAAAGAGAGUGAAACAGUACCGUGAAAUUGUUGAAAGGGAAGCCGUU
rnacentral:rRNA from 1 species